rnacentral:lncRNA from 1 species
UGGCUGAAGUGGACACGCAGCGCCGUGUUCUGUGCCUUCCUGCUCGCAUCCGCCCACGCUCAGAGCGGAGACGGCGAGUGGGGGUCAGGGGCGGAGACACCAGGUCUGGUCUUCACCAGCAACGCCACCACAGCCACAACCUCACAGGAAGUCGGCGACGACCCCAUUCAGAUUGGUGAUGCCGGCUGGCCGCCGCCGUUUUUUGAGGCCAUCUCGCUGGGCGAGGAUGGGGAGGAAGCCGAGGGCGAGUGCACGGUGAACUUCCAGACCAGCCUGGCAUGGGCGCGCCAGAUGAAGGCCUACAGGGACGAGCUGACCUACCUCAAGGCCAUCCAGCACGGCAACCAGGCGGUGGUGGAGAACCUGGUGCAGUAUGUGGGUGCCGAGAUGGGCGAGCAGCGCUACCAGGACGUGAUUGAGGAGAACAUCGGCGGCAUCAAGGAGGAACACAGCAGCUGUAGUGGGGUGGUGGAGAAGACGGCCGAGGAGCUGCAGACCCAGCUGGCGGGGGACAGCCAGGAGGCUCUGACUGGCAUUCAGAAAAUCAAAGAGGAGUCCCUGGCCUUUGAAGACAUGCUGCGUGCUGCCACAGACAUCGCCGGCCGACUGGAGAGCACCUCCAAGGCCCUCCACGCCUCCCUCACCCAGCAGCUCAGGAACAGCCUCAAAGGCCCCCGCCACUGAGACUAAAACACGAAGAAGGACACUCCGCUUGCCAGGGAUGGGUGCUCGUGUGGCACAAACAGCGCCAAUUUAAAGGACCCCUCCUCCCCCAUACACACACACACACACACACACACAAACCUCCAUCCCUUUUCUUAUGUUACUAAAAAGCAAAAGCAAAUCUCUGCGGUGGCCUUGGACAUGAAAGGAAAAAACAUUAUAGUUGUUUUGUUUUGUGUUAUAUUUUCUAUGGAAAUGGCUGGGACGUGAGUGGUAUUGGUAUAUUUCCAGUUUCAGUUGACUGAGCUGUGGUAGAGGGGUUUUGCCUGGAAGAAAACGAGGGGAAAAAGAAACAACCUCAAUCUCUACAAUCUCUUUUUUUCAUCUCAAAGCAUUUAAUCAUACCGUGAAACAGCCCCCCGGAAUUACACAAGUCAUUGAAUUCAGUGAAUUUUUUUGCUCUCUGUUCAGAUUACAUUUAGAAGAAGGCCUGGCAUUGUCAGCCGAGUUAUGUGAAGCUUAUGUUGGCAAUGCUACUUCACGGAGCUGUAAUUGUUGACGUCUGCUCUGGUACAAGGGCACAGAUGGAGAUCAGCCCGAGAGAAGGGGCUGGUUCAGUGCACGCACAGACAGACAGACAGACAGACAGACAGACAGACAGACAGACAGACAGACAGACAGACAGACAGACAGACAGACAGACAGACAGACAGGCAGGUUUACACAGUAAUUAACGGACACUAGAGUGUUGAUAGAAUGUCUGUGUUUGUGUUUAUGUGAGUGUAGGUGUGAGUGCCAGAAAGAGAGAAAAAGAGAGUAAAAGUGUAUGCAUUUUCUCUGUGUAUGUGUGUGUGUGUGUGUGUGUGCUCAUAUGCAAUGUGUGUAUUUGUAUGUGUGUUUGUGUGAGACCACAGUCAUUAGAAGGACAGAGAUUGUAUGACAAGAGAACAGGCAUCGGGUGUGUAUAGGUAAUGACCUGUGCAAAGACUGGGUGGUUAUCAGUUAUCAGAAAACACAGCGCAGACUGACUGAUGGCCAAUUCACUGGGGGAGGGUGAAUAGGGACUUGCAGAGAAUAUGAAAAAUUGUACAUUAAACUGAACCAAAGAUUUUCAUUCUUUUUAUGUGAGUUCUCUCUCUAUCUCUCUCUCUCUAUGUGUGUGUGUGUGUGUGUGUGUGUGUGUGUGUGUGUGUGUGUGUGUGUGUGUGUGUGUGUGCACGCGUGUGUGUGUGUGCGCAUGCGUGUGUGUGUUUGUGUUUGUGUGUGUGUGCGUGUAUGUGUGUGUGUGUACGUGUUUGUGUGUUUCUGCUGCAUGUUCACUGUGUGAAGGGCAGGGACUGGGCAGUUACUAUAACAGUAAUUUUUCAAAUGUGUAUCAGAGCAACAUAUUCAUUGAUAAAUGUAAAACAAAUUAUUGAAUGUAGAUAUUCCCAAUAAAA